AAAAGUGAAAACCUAAGCAAACUAAACAGUAAACACACAUUUGACUCAAAUCAGAUUUCAUCGCACAGCCGCAUAACACUCAACAACUAACCACACACGAUCUUAAACUCUUCUUCUCUUACCGGCCGCCACAUACGAGUAGUCAGCCACCGCUCAUCAUCUUCUCUUAGCAUCAUCGUCAUCAGCCUGUCACGGACUCCUGUUCAGCGCCAUCUCCUCUCACGGCAGCUCACAACACGCUGCAGCCUGCAGUCCGUCAAGCUUCCGUCAGCGCCAUCUCUCACGGCAGCUCACAACACGUUGCAGCCUGCAGUCCGUCAAGCUUCCGUCAGCGCCAUCUCUCACGGAAACUCACAACACGCUGCAGCCUGCAAUCCGUCAAGCUUCUCACGCCAUCGCCGUCACUAGUAUUGCCGAACUGCUGUCAAGGACUCAAGG
rnacentral:lncRNA from 1 species